GCAGUGCCCGCCCCUCGCUCGCCGCCGCCCCUCCGCGCUCUGCCCUCCAGCGGCGGCGCGGACAGGCCCGCUGCGGCCUCCUCUCGGCCUGGCUCGGGAUGAGGAGCAGAACCAGAUCUACAAAUACAGGGCAGUGAGAUGGCAUCAUUUUCUCCAGCUGGUAAUUUCAUAGUAUGAUUUGCAGGCACCCAGAGGAAGGCCCCUUACUACGUUUCCCAAAAUCUGAAAUGAAGCAAAAGGAGAAGAAAAAGUCCAACAACAGCUGAAGGAAUAAUGCAUCUUUAAUAUCAUUCUCUAGCCAAGGCCAUCAGUCUCUAAAGAGGUGAUUAUCCCGCUGUAUUUAGCAUUGGUGCGGCCUCACCUUGAGUACUGUGUGCAGUUCUGGGCCCCACAAUUUAAGAAGGAUGUUCAGGUUCUUGGAUGUGUCCAGAGGAGGGCAGCAAAGCUGGUGAAAGAGCUGGAAGGCAUGUCCUGUGAGGAGUGGCUAUGAACUUUGAGUUUGUCUGGUUUGGAGAAAAGGAGUCUGAAGGGUGACCUCAUUGCUUUCUACCGCUUCCUGAGGAGGGGAAGUAGGGAGAAAAGUGCUGGUCUCUUCUCCCUGGGAUCCAGUGACAGGAGGUGUGGAAAUGGUUCAAAGCUGCACCAGAGGAGGUUCACACUUGACAUUGGAAGCAUUUCUUUACCAACAGGGUGGUCAAACACUGGAACAGGCUUCCUGGAGAGGUGGUCAAUGCCCCAAGCCUGCCAGUGUUUAAGAGGCAUUUGGACAAUGCCCUUAAUAACAUGCUCUAACUUUUUGUCAGCCCUGACCUGGUCAGUUAGUUGGACUAGGUGAUUGUUGUAGGUCCCUCCCAACUGAACUAUUCUGAUCUAACUCAAUAGCGUUUAGCAACAUUUUUUCAAUUUAUUGACCGUAAAAAAAUCUUCCAUCUCAGAAGCAAACUUGAGCAGUGAUGGAAACAGUGGUCUGGAGACCAAAUAGAGACCCAUUUUGGGUGAAUUUACAGUGAGUUAAUGACAAGAACCACACUAUUCACUGAAAUAAAAUCUAAAAUGUGUUUACUUCAGCAGGAUGAGUGUAGUGGUCUUUGGCCCUGUGUUCCAGCUGUAACUGGCACCAUUGACUUAGCGGAACAAGACGCUCACUCCAACCUAUCCAUGUGCCCAAGUGCUGACUAGUUGCCUGGCAUCUACAUCUACCUGUUCCAUCCUGAACAUAGCUUUUUGUGCAGUGCUGGAUGUCUUUGGAUGCCCUUUGCUAGGACUGUUGUUUUUUUGCUAUUUAUUGCUUUCUAACUUAGCCUCUUGCAUUAAUAGUCCCAGGCCAAUCUCUUCGACUAUCCCCAUACCUAAAGCUGAUUAGUGGUCAUUAUCUGGGUCCCAUCACCUUCUGGGAUCCCACUCCAAGCAUCUUAAAAAGCUUUAAAUGUGUUGACAGCAGUUGGUUUGCCCUGUGACAAGACAACAUAAGGAAAUAAAAAUUAUAUGUGUCAUGAUGCUUCAACUGUAGGCUUCUGAUAUAGACUUAGAUGAAAUCAUUGCUAUCUCCUUGAUUGCAUCUGUCUGAGUCUAUCGCUGGCUAUGAGAGCACAGAUAACCAGCAAGCAGUUCUAAAAAGUUUGUAUAAAUUAACAAGGACGUUUUUACAAGAUAACAAGUCCUCUAUUCGCAUGCUCUAUCAUCUUCAGGCACAUAUUCCACCCCUUUCCAGAAAUAUCAUGGUUACCUAUGCAUCAUUUGCAUCACAGACUUCAUUAAGAUUUUUCCUUUAAUAUUUGAUUAUUGUUAACACAAGUAAAACAUAUUUCUAUAACAAAUAAGGAUUAGAGAUUUUAACAACAUAACAAGCUGAUCUAUUUAAAUAUCACACCUUAUAAUGUACUUAAAGAGUGUUUGUGUUAUUCUAUUGUUCCUUAGGCCAACAGUAUUUGCACUAUUUUUGUAUUUCUCAGAACCAGACACUGGGAUUUUUUCCAGUCAUCAUCAAAAUGUUAGCCUCGUACAGAUGAGAAAGAAUUCAGACUUCAGAAAUAAGUGAAUUAGGAAUUGUCCUUCUCAGGGUCCUUAUGAUGUGAUUGAACUGGUAGUCUAAUAUGGUUAGUGUGAUACAAGCCUCCACAUGUUACUGUUUAUAUUUCC